AGUACAUGGUGUAUUUUUUAAAAAUCCUCAAUUUGAUUGGAGUUUUCUGUUUUCCUUGGGUUUUCUCUUUUCUUUUUCUUUUUUUUUUUUUUUUUAAGGUCUGUUCUAAGAAAAGGAAAGCAGGGGAUUUACUAAAGGCAAGUGAUCAUGGUUAACCUGUGAGAUGGAACAAAGGAAGUCUGUGGCCUUCUGUCUGCAUUGGUUUUGCUUGCAUCUCUGUGUAAAGAAACUGCUUCAGAGCAGGUAUAUCAAGGAACAGAAACAGUGGUUUGAGUUCUUUAUGUCUCAUACACUAGUCUCUGGAGUUCUUCUGUAGGCUGUAU